UACGUAGGGGGCAAGCGUUGUCCGGAAUCAUUGGGCGUAAAGGGCGUGUAGGCGGCCCGGUAAGUCCGCUGUGAAAGUCCAGGGCUCAACCCUGGGAUGCCGGUGGAUACUGUCGGGCUCGAGUCCGGAAGAGGAGUGUGGAAUUCCUGGUGUAGCGGUGAAAUGCGCAGAUAUCAGGAAGAACACCCGUGGCGAAGGCGGCUCUCUGGGACGGUACUGACGCUGAGACGCGAAAGCGUGGGGAGCGAACAGG
rnacentral:rRNA from 1 species